AGAGUUUGAUCCUGGCUCAGGAUGAACGCUAGCUACAGGCUUAACACAUGCAAGUCGAGGGGCAGCAUGGACUCAGCUUGCUGGGUUUGAUGGCGACCGGCGCACGGGUGAGUAACGCGUAUCCAACCUGCCCUUUACUCCGGGAUAGUCUCCUGAAAGGGAGUUUAAUACCGGAUGUGUUUGUCUUUCCGCAUGGGAGCGACAAAUAAAGAUUAAUUGGUAAAGGAUGGGGAUGCGUCCCAUUAGCUUGUUGGCGGGGUAACGGCCCACCAAGGCGACGAUGGGUAGGGGUUCUGAGAGGAAGGUCCCCCACAUUGGAACUGAGACACGGUCCAAACUCCUACGGGAGGCAGCAGUGAGGAAUAUUGGUCAAUGGGCGAGAGCCUGAACCAGCCAAGUAGCGUGAAGGACGACGGCCCUACGGGUUGUAAACUUCUUUUAUAAGGGAAUAAAGUUCGCCACGCGUGGUGUUUUGUAUGUACCUUAUGAAUAAGCAUCGGCUAAUUCCGUGCCAGCAGCCGCGGUAAUACGGAAGAUGCGAGCGUUAUCCGGAUUUAUUGGGUUUAAAGGGAGCGUAGGCGGGCUUUUAAGUCAGCGGUCAAAUGUCGUGGCUCAACCAUGUCAAAUUGCCGUUGAAACUGCAAGCCUUGAGUCUGCACAGGGCACAUGGAAUUCGUGGUGUAGCGGUGAAAUGCUUAGAUAUCACGAAGAACUCCGAUCGCGAAGGCAUUGUGCCGGGGCAUAACUGACGCUGAGGCUCGAAAGUGCGGGUAUCAAACAGGAUUAGAUACCCUGGUAGUCCGCACGGUAAACGAUGAAUGCUCGCUAUGGGCGAUAUAUAGUCCGUGGCCAAGCGAAAGCGUUAAGCAUUCCACCUGGGGAGUACGCCGGCAACGGUGAAACUCAAAGGAAUUGACGGGGGCCCGCACAAGCGGAGGAACAUGUGGUUUAAUUCGAUGAUACGCG
rnacentral:rRNA from 1 species